rnacentral:rRNA from 1 species
UCACAGCCAUAUCACCCUGCAGCCCAAGACUGGUUGCCCACUGAAGCUAAGUAAGGUUGAGCCUGGUCAGUACCUGGAUGGGAGACCUCUUUGGAAAACUAGGUUGCUGUUGGAA